CAUAAGACUUUUUUUAUUUUUUCGGAUGGGUCUGCUUUACCAAAAUAUAUUUUUCCAACUUGGGUGUCACACGAGUGUCAUCCGGACAGCACCUCAGCUCACUGAAUGACGCCAAUGUCUUGGGAUCAAAUGCCCCGUUCUACACUUUCUGAGGGUCAGGCUCUUGUCAGCGUCACACUGUCUGCACUGUUGUAGGUCCGGCCUAGAAGAAAAUAAGUCUGUAAACAAUGUUACCACAGAUCCAUUUCAUCUUUUUUACUCAAUGUCUUGUACUAGUUGUAUACUGUCAACGCAUUCAACUCUUUCCCUACAAACAAACAAAGAACUGUAACAUCAGUCUUGUGGAAGAGAAUGAUAUAAUUCUGAUGUAUGGCAAAGUGGAUUUCAAUGGAAACAUUCCAGCAUCAUCAGAUGUCUACUUUGAAAUCCAAAGAAAAACUGAAACGAGUU
rnacentral:sRNA from 1 species